CUGGGCCGGUCAUUCUGAUUCUUUUUUGAAAUCAACCGGUCAUUCUCAUUCUCCAAAGAAAUCCAUAUUUCAAUCUUUCGGAAUGUAUAACCCACUGAAAUGAAAAAACGUUUAAUUUUAACUCCAAGAUCUAUAAUAUUAGAUAAAUCAUCCCCGUUUGGUUUUGGAGCUGACAUGGCACGUUAAAGACGGUUUAGUGCGUGAUUAGGCAAGUUGACAUUUUUUGACCGUUGACGUGGCUGUCUUCCUUGCUGGGUUCUCAACGUCUCCGUGAACGCGUUCAGCGGGGCCAUCUCUCGCCCACUCUGCUGCUCGUGCGGCCUGAGCCAGAGAGCUUCUCUCUCCGCCGCACACCCGGCCAUGGCUUCCCGAGCCCUCGGCGCCGGACUGAGCCUGGCCCAUCAUCAGAUUCACCGCCAGGUCUGUCGGCGGUGUGGGCCGGAGGGCAGCCGAGCACCAACUUGCUCCCGUUCUCCCUCUUCGUCGGCACCCUCGUUGCCGCCGCCCAACCUCGACGAGCGGUUCCCUGCGGGGGGCAGAUGGAGAUUAACAAAACGGUACUGGAUAACUGGAAGAGAACGAGGCUGCUUCCGCGUACUGCCAGAUGUCCGGCGUAGCAGCUGAAGACGCUCCAAGUGCUCGACCUCAGCCACAACAACUUCUCCGGCAGCAUCAUGCCCGGCCUCACCAAGCUGGAGAUACACGACCUCCAGCAGAGCGGUCUCAGGGGUCUGAUCCUCCAAUCGCUGAAGGGGGUAGAAGCGAGUAACCAUGAGGCAACGUCAGCCGUAAAAAAGAAAUGUCAACUUUGCCUAAUCACUAAACCGCAAAAUGUGCCACGCCAGCCUCAAAACCACUUAGUGAGGUGAUUUAUCUUGUAUUAGAGAUUUCGGAUUAAAAUUAAACAGUUUUCCACUUCAA